UGCCAUCCUCGUCGGCCCCGCCGCCGUGUCACUGCUCUGCCUCUGCGGGCUGCAGCGGUCCUCGCUUAGUGCGGGACAAUUGGACCUUGGUCCAUCGCUGGCCUUGCGACCAUUCCGUGCCCAGACCCCGAGCGAGCAGCUCGAGGCUGCGGUGUCCCUCGGUGGUGACAGCGCCAACAAAGCCCUGACAACAGGCCCAGCCCUGAGCUGCUCAUCAUCAGCACUUCAGGCAGCAAAUCUGCCUGCCCUUCAGCAUCGCUUUAUGUGCAGACUGAGCGGAUGAAAGCACAGGCAGGCAAGGCACAAAAGUACUGUGAAAAUACAGCAGAUGCAGAACUUCCACCUUACACGCUGGCACUUGUCUUACACUGUACGUUUCUACAUAUAUAGACAAAUAUAUGAGUGAGUCUAUCAUCUGAAUAGCCUGCCUCUAUCCCCAGCAAUCCUGCGGAAGCAUGGCAGUGAUUUGUGGAAGCUUCAGGACAGCAACAAGAGCAUUACACUGACAUCUGAAAGCUUGACAGAAGUUUAUUUUUCAACACAUUUCCUUCUAAAACUUAAUUUCUUUCAGUAAACCCGUGACUCACAGCAGCAACCAGGCUGAUGAGGCCUGCAUGCUAAGCACAACCCAUGCUUCCCAUGGCUUCAAGCCUUCCAGCUUGGCCCACUGCUUCUAUUUUCACUCUUGCUUAUAUUUUUGUUCUUCAGUUAUGUGGGUGAGCCCUCAGUCAAGAUGGGGUUUUCCACGGACGAGCCAGAACGUCCCUCCUUGAGGUUUUUAAUUCACCAACACCAGAGAGUGCUGAACUGUGUGAUUAAACAAGGCAGGCAAGCUUCAAUUAUUUCAAAGUGAUUAAUGCUGGGGAAACCGAGAUGCUUGUUCUGAGUAAGUGAAACUGAUGUGCACACGAUGCUCACAUCCUUUGAGAGCAGGUAAUCCGCUGCAAGUAGUUGGAAGUAGGACUCUGUGUAAGAACUUCUACCUUAGUUUCACACUAUGCCUAAUGCCUACAUUAGACUUGGCUACUGCUGUGGUGUCACUUAUUUUUUAUUGCCCUUCAAAAAGGGCAAUGAAACAAUUUGCAAAACAGGAGCCCUUUAAAGAGAUAAGAAAGGCUGAAUCAUUCCCAGUGUUACAUAAGGUGGCUGAACGCUCAAACGUGGAUGAACUGCUUGAUUUCCCUUAUUAACCAGAGGAGCAGGUGGAAGCAUGCAUAUAGAAAUCCAUAUAGAAAUGAGGCUGCAAAUGCCUAAUGAGAUUUUUUUUUUUUAGCAAGUCCACGUAGUUUAAAGGAGUUUGCACGACUUUGAUCUUGUGUGCUUCUGAAAUCACUCCAUGAGACCCUCAAAAGCAGACUGAGUCAGAGCUGUAAGACUUGGACCUCACAGAAAGUAUUUUAGAACUGCUUAUGUGCAAAAUGGCACAAGUCUGCACUUCGGAGAUGCAGUGAAACGCUGUGGUCAGUGGUGUGUUCAGCUAAGUGCUCACAAAGGCUGCAGAAGGCAGCAACCACAAGAGGUCAUUGGAACACAGGCUUUCACUGAGCAAGGGGAUGAACUGAAGCAGAAAGAUCUCCGUGGGAACAUGAAACACUGUGCAGUCCCUUUCACUCAGCAAAGUGUCUCUCUGGCCUGGCCCUUUCUGAUAGGCCGCCAGAGUUGGAGCAAGGGAAAAGAGCAGCAGAAGGAAUCAGCCUGGGUUUUUUUUGAAGCAGCAAUCGCAGAUUCAACAAUUUUUGCAACAUCUCACACAAGGGACAGUGAUCAGCAAAACAUUCUAUGGAUCAGCUUCCCCCCCCCAAUCUUACCAGGCUAUUGGGUUUUCCUCAGCAUGGCAGAAAGUUGAGUCUCUGCUGCAGGAUUCCAGGAAUGCUGAAGCUUUGGAAGAAAGUGCAAGACUGAGCGGAGAGUACAGAUGGGAUGCUGGGAAUGCCUAACAGAAAAACAGACAGGAGAACCUAUACCUGCGUACCAAGGAUAGGACUCCCAGCAGCCAGGUAAAGAAGGAAAAAGGAUAAUAGGAUGUAUACCUCAACAUAACAGGAUUACAAGUCCUAGUGUACCUUAUCAGAUAUAAUGUUCAUCCCUUUUCCUUUUUUUAAAAUCAAUACACAGUUUAGCUCAUUAAUGACACAGCCCACCAAUGGUGAGUCUUGGUGCCACCUGUGCCACCUAAAAGCAUAGUUUAAGCCUCGUUCCCCUACUUGAUCACUUUUUCUUUUCAUCAAAAUGAGCACUAUUCUGUAAUUUCAGUACAUUUUCACACAAACAGGUGAGCUCACCAUGUCUUCUAUGGUACUAGUCAGUUCAUCAGCCAACACGUACUUUAAACAUCAUCCUUCGCAGCAAAAGAGUUCCAUUAUUUUUAUUUCUUCCACCUUCAAAGUCAUUUCUCCAGUUUUAAGUGCACAUCUCAAGUUGUUUGCUUGUUUUUGAAGUCUCACCAGAUACCAUGUGUUUUUAUUUAAAAAUACAAAAGCUAUUUUCCCAGUAAUUAGAACUCGAUCUUUAAUCCUUGAUGAUGCCAUAACUCACUGCUAAGUUCCACAAUAAACAUACAUCUCAUACAAAAAGCUCAAAAGCGCAGUAAACAACUUGAAGUUAUAUUCUCAAAAUAAGAGAUUUCCACUUUAGAAACACCAAAAAAUGCAGAUGUUACAAACAAUCCAUUUAUUGGGUCAUAAACUACGUACACAAUUGAAAUAAUAAUUUUGGCACUACGCUAUACAGUGGUUACAUCUGUGUGCUGACACUCAUUAAAUACUGCACCAGGAACACUGCUGUGCUUUGAAGUUUGGAAUGAGUCACACACUCAGCAGGUAGAUCACUCGAAAUGUAUCAGUGCUCCUGUAGGGUUGCAUGAAAGUUGAAACACACCAGCUUACGCAUAAUUUCAAUGUACCUCAUGUUCUAUGAGCUUAUCACAUCAGAACAUGUGAUGUCAGCAUUUAGAGAUGGCCACAAAUGUUCAUUAAAAUCUGAAUGAGACGGUAAUGAUGAGAUACAAGAAAACUGAAACAAAACCUCUGCCUCUUAGACAUGAAGAGAUUCUCUGUUAAAGAAAAUAAUUUAGAAAACUAAUAAUGGCAUUUGAUUUGAUACAAAAGCCAGAACUACUACAUUAUUAACAUCUAAGUAUGAAUCUUUACAAAUUAAUCUCACAAUGGUAUUAUGUAAAAGGUUGCAAACUGUACAAUGUUCUGUCAAUGCAAUGCCUCUACAAUUUAUACAGUCUUUUACAACUAUGUAACACAUAUUAAACAUGUUGU
ensembl:lncRNA